rnacentral:rRNA from 1 species
GGACUACCAGGGUUUCUAAUCCUGUUUGAUCCCCACGCUGUCGCGCAUGAGCGUCAGAAACGGUCCAGUGAGCCGCCUUCGCCACCGGUGUUCUUCCCAAUAUCUACGAAUUUCACCUCUACACUGGGAAUUCCACUCACCUCUACCGUACUCAAGCUCUACAGUUUCAAGGGCAGUUCCAGAGUUGAGCUCUGGGCUUUCACCCCUGACUUGAAGAGCCGCCUGCGCGCGCUUUACGCCCAGUAAUUCCGAACAACGCUAGCCCCCUUCGUAUUACCGCGGCUGCUGGCAC